AGUGGCGGACGGGUGAGUAACGCGUGAGGAACCUGCCUUUCAGAGGGGAACAACAGUUGGAAACGACUGCUAAUACCGCAUGACACAUAGAGAUCGCAUGGUUUUUAUGUCAAAGAUUUAUCGCUGAAAGAUGGCCUCGCGUCUGAUUAGCUAGUUGGUGAGGUAACGGCCCACCAAGGCGACGAUCAGUAGCCGGACUGAGAGGUUGACCGGCCACAUUGGGACUGAGAUACGGCCCAGACUCCUACGGGAGGCAGCAGUGGGGAAUAUUGGGCAAUGGGCGCAAGCCUGACCCAGCAACGCCGCGUGAAGGAAGAAGGCUUUCGGGUUGUAAACUUCUUUUGUCGGGGACGAGUAGAAGACGGUACCUGGCGAAUAAGCCACGGCUAACUACGUGCCAGCAGCCGCGGUAAUACGUAUGGAGCAAGCGUUAUCCGGAUUUACUGGGUGUAAAGGGAGCGCAGGCGGACCGGCAAGUUGGAAGUGAAAUCUAUGGGCUCAACCCAUAAAUUGCUUUCAAAACUGCUGGCCUUGAGUAGUGCAGAGGUAGGUGGAAUUCCCGGUGUAGCGGUGGAAUGCGUAGAUAUCGGGAGGAACACCAGUGGCGAAGGCGACCUACUGGGCACCAACUGACGCUGAGGCUCGAAAGCAUGGGUAGCAAACAGGAUUAGAUACCCUGGUAGUCCAUGCCGUAAACGAUGAUUACUAGGUGUUGGAGGAUUGACCCCUUCAGUGCCGCAGUUAACACAAUAAGUAAUCCACCUGGGGAGUACGACCGCAAGGUUGAAACUCAAAGGAAUUGACGGGGGCCCGCACAAGCAGUGGAGUAUGUGGUUUAAUUCGAAGCAACGCGAAGAACCUUACCAGGUCUUGACAUCCGAUGCAUAGUGCAGAGAUGCAUGAAGUCCUUCGGGACAUCGAGACAGGUGGUGCAUGGUUGUCGUCAGCUCGUGUCGUGAGAUGUUGGGUUAAGUCCCGCAACGAGCGCAACCCUUAUUGCCAGUUACUACGCAAGAGGACUCUGGCGAGACUGCCGUUGACAAAACGGAGGAAGGUGGGGAUGACGUCAAAUCAUCAUGCCCUUUAUGACCUGGGCUACACACGUACUACAAUGGCGUUUAACAAAGAGAAGCAAGACCGCGAGGUGGAGCAAAACUCAAAAACAACGUCUCAGUUCAGAUUGCAGGCUGCAACUCGCCUGCAUGAAGUCGGAAUUGCUAGUAAUCGCAGAUCAGCAUGCUGCGGUGAAUACGUUCCCGGGUCUUGCACACACCGCCCGUCA
rnacentral:rRNA from 1 species